CGUGGCAGGGCAUGGCAGCCCUCCUCGGCCCAUGAUCCCACCGCAGAGUACGCAUCCCAGAGGCAGCUUCCUCCACAGUCACAGAGCACUGAGAAGAGCCAAGCGCUCCAGCGAUGUCGGGGAACUGGGAGUGAAGGUGACAUGUGAAAACUACUUACAAAGGAAUUCGGUAGAUCACUUAAAAGGAGCUUGGAUCUAGCCAGAUUGACACGAAGAGACCUGGAAGUAACGGUGAUGGUCCUUCUAGCUGUGGCAUGUGGGACGCUGCCUCAGUGUGGUUUGAUGAGCAGUGCCAUGUCCAUGCCCAGGAUUCAAACCAACGAAACACUGGGCCGCCUGCAGCGGAGCGCGCGAACUUAACCACUCGGCCAUGGGACCAGCCCCUCACCAAUUUUGAGAAAUCUGUUGAGCACCCACACGGGGCCCCGGCGAGGCGGCGCAUGGACCCACAGACGUGAGCUGUAAUCCAGGCCACCCUCAGUGGGACAGGUUUGCAGAGGGUCCUAUAGAAAGGGGAAAUUGGACACAGACACGCACCAAGGGAGCACACUGAGCAAG
rnacentral:lncRNA from 1 species